rnacentral:rRNA from 1 species
UACGAAGGGGGGCUAGCGUUGCUCGGAAUCACUGGGCGUAAAGGGUGCGUAGGCGGGUCUUUAAGUCAGGGGUGAAAUCCUGGAGCUCAACUCCAGAACUGCCUUUGAUACUGAAGAUCUUGAGUUCGGGAGAGGUGAGUGGAACUGCGAGUGUAGAGGUGAAAUUCGUAGAUAUUCGCAAGAACACCAGUGGCGAAGGCGCUCACUGGCCCGAUACUGACGCUGAGGCACGAAAGCGUGGGGAGCAAACAGG